rnacentral:rRNA from 1 species
CAAUAGCGUAUAUUAAAGUUGUUGCAGUUAAAAGCUCGUAGUUGGAUCUCGGGAGCGAGCGGGCGGUCGGGCGUUCAGCCGUGCACUUCCCGCUCAUCCUACUGUCCGGUACGUGCCCUGUGCUCUUAACCGAGUGUAGGGAGCGUCUGGAGCGUUUACUUUGAAAAAAUUAGAGUGCUCAAAGCAGACGAUUCGUCUGAAUAGCCGUGCAUGGAAUAAUGGAAUAGGACCUCGGUUCUAUUUUGUUGGUUUUCGGAAGUCGAGGUAAUGAUUAAGAGGGACAGACGGGGGGCAUUCGUACUGGGCCGCCAGAGGUGAAAUUCUUGGAUUUGUUAAAGACGGACUACUGCGAAAGCAUUUGCCAAGGAUGUUUUCAUUGAUCAAGAACGAAAGUUAGGGGAUCGAAGAUGAUCAGAUACC